GAUGAACGCUGGCGGCGUGCUUAACACAUGCAAGUCGAACGAAGCACUUAAGUUGAUUUCUUCGGAUUGAUUCUUAAGUGACUUAGUGGCGGACGGGUGAGUAACGCGUGGGUAACCUGCCUCGUACAGGGGGAUAACAGUUAGAAAUGACUGCUAAUACCGCAUAACCCGCUAGGAUCGCAUGAUCCGGACGGAAAAGAUUUAUCGGUACGAGAUGGACCCGCGUCUGAUUAGCUAGUUGGUGAGGUAACGGCCCACCAAGGCGACGAUCAGUAGCCGGCCUGAGAGGGUGAACGGCCACAUUGGGACUGAGACACGGCCCAA
rnacentral:rRNA from 1 species